ACACUAGAAAAGAUAAUUUUAUCUAAAAAUUUAAAUUUAAUUUUAAUGAAAAGUUUAAAAUUAAAUUUUUAGACGAUAAGACCCUAUGAAGCUUUAUUAUCAUUAAUUUUUUUGGGGAAAACUAUAAUUUAUUUAUUAUUUUUAAGGCAGGUAUUGAUCUUUUAGAAUUACAAGAAAAAGCUACUCUAGGGAUAACAGCAUAAUUUUUAUUAAAGUUCUUAUUGAAAUAAAAGAUUGUGACCUCGAUGUUGAAUUAAGAAAUAUGAUUUGUGCAGCAGCUAAUUAAUUCUAGUCUGUUCGACUAUACUAUCUUACAUGAUCUGAGUUCAAACCGGA
rnacentral:rRNA from 1 species